UAGACACAGGAAAGAUACCACAAAAAUAUAAAAACAUAAUUAACUUCAGUCCUUUAUCAAACUGUUACAGUUUUGUUCUUUUUAAAAUUUUCAAAAAAGUGAAACAUGGAAGUUGUUCACAUUAUGUUAAUAUUUCAUUUCAAGUUAACACAUAAAAAUUGUGCUUGUUGUGUUUAAUUAAUUAAUUCUAGUAAAGAUAACAUGAUUUUGUCACAUGUUAACCUAAAUAAAUAAUUUUAUUUUGUGUGAAAACAACCAAAUUUAGUUAAGUGAAUUAGCACACCAAUACCUCUUUUGGCCAUAAGGGGGCAGUAAUGCAACAAUAAAACUGCGCGAACAGAAAAUCCAGUUUAAACCGGAUUAGUCUGGAUGUUCAUCCGAAGACAGCAGUCGUGAGGCUUUGGCGAGCCGUUUUAACAUAAAUUCGGUUUCGUCUGACUGUCCGUAAUUACCUUCUAGAUAUCUAAAAAUGCAUUUUGACUAGACAACACUACAUUUUGACUAUCCGGAGUGGUAAUCUUAAAUAGAAAAGCUGUGUAAUUGAAGAUAUCUCUAAUUCAUUUAGAGAUACGUAGCUUAAAAGGAAUUCUGACUAGUCAAAAUUACAAUUUAAGAUAUCUCUAAUUUAGUUUUGUCUAGUCAUUAUUUGCUUUUAAGAUAUAUAUAAUUUAGUUUUCACUAGUCAAAACUACAUAUCUCCUAUCCAAAAAUAAAUUUAAGAUAUCUUGAAUUAUGUUGUCAUUCGAGAUAUCUUCAAUUAGAAUGAUGACUAGUCAAAACUACAAUCGAGAUAUCUUGAAUUUACUUUAUGAUUAGUCAUAAUUUAAUUGUAGAUAUCUGAAAUGUGUAUUUCAGAUAGUCAGUAAUUCAUUGUAGAUAUCUUGAAUUGAAUCUCCAUAUAACACUAUGGUAAAUCUGAUGUCAUUUCGACUAGUCAGAAUGUAAUUAAAGAUAUCUCAAAUAGGUAUUUUGUCUAGUCAAAAUACAAUUAGAGAUAUCUUAGAUCGCUAAAACGUCUAGUCAUAAGACAAUUUGAGAUAUCUGGAAUGUAAGGGCGGCAAAACCGAAUUUAUGUUAAAACGGCUUGCCAAACUAUGCCAACUAUGACAAGCCGUUUUAGCAUAAAUUCGGUUUUGCCGCCCUUACAUUCCAGACUUUUGCUUUUAACAUCUCCAUUUGGGUUUUAAUUCACCACUUCAUGAUAAUUUUACUCUUUCACCAGAGUCAUCUGGCGGGAUGAUGAGUUUAAACUUAAAUGGCGUGUUCUUUGUUAUUGUGUUUUACAUUGCUUUGUCACCAUUGAUUAUUCAGGUAAUCCUGUGCAUGAGGGGACAGAAACCAGGAGCUCCAAAAUUAACCUGAAUUGGAGCUUGUCUGAACUGAAUAACUUUGUGUGUCAAAGCUACCCACACAUCAGCCUAAAUCUGGUUGGCUUUGAACUGGCAAGAUGUGGAAAAGGACGAAAGGUAAAAACAAAUUACAAGUGAAUUCUGUGAGGGAGCUGAAGGAAAAGGUUGGCAAAAGCAGACUCUACAUUCUACCACGAGCAGACACAGGUAUGAUUGUUUUGUACACAAAAAUAAUUUCAUGUAGUAUGGUAUAUCCAGAGUAAUAUCUUCCACUAUAAUUUGAAAUGUCUUGGCCAUGUCUAGGAAACCUAAGCAAUGUCCAGGAGUUUGUUUCCAGAACCCUCAACUGCACCAGAAGUACAGGAUAUCUCUCCAGAUGCUGAGAGUACCAACAGACAACAUUUAGGGGAAGAGCAGGUCAUUCAUUUCAAGAACAAUAUAUGCAUUUUAGUUUUAUAUCUUAUUUCUGAUGUUGACUUUAACAAUCUCUGUGCUGUAUUCACAAUAGACACUGCUAGAUUGGCGAUCUCUGCGGUCCCAGCAAGACGAAAAGUCUGAAGAGUCUUUGUUAGCAGACCAAGAAAAAGUGACUUAACAUUUUUGUUAUCAUCAUUUGUUGUUGCUGCUGUUGUUGUUAUUGUUACUCACUUUUUUUUCUACCAGGAAAGGAGAAAACAGUGUUACAAGGCCUGGGAGGAAAGAUGCAUAAAAGUAAGAACUAUUACAUUGCUAGGAUGAUAGUGGUUUAUGGAUUACCUAAAGGCCUUAGUGCUCAUGUUUUAGGCAAUUGAAGAACGCCUUCAACGACUGGCGGUAUAUAAAGAACCGUCAAGUGGACUGCUGUUGAAGUUCAAAUAUCCGAAUGGAUUUAUCAGAAAGAGAACUUUCAAUGUGUCGGACCCAAUUCUGGUCUUGUUUGACUUUGUCGGACAAGAUGAAAUGGCAAGUGAAAUAUUCAGUGUUCAACAAGCAACAUCAUCCAAACCAAUUGAGAGUACCUCAUCAGGCUCACUUAUGGAUCCUGGCAUAACAACAUCUGCAACUCUGUACGUGCUUUGGAUUUCAACUCUAGAUAUUCAGGAAAGGUGUCCAGUUCAGGCGAAUGUAGUGCUGGAGCAGUCACUGUCUUCUGUCCGAAGUCUACAGACAUCGCUUUCUGACCAAGCACUGACAUCUUUGUCAGCCCAGUCACCACUGGCCCCAACAUUUCCUCAAGUCCUGUCGACCAUGUUCAACUCCCCAGAAACAUCAACUUCGUUCUCCUCCCGGGCAACUGUGUCCCAGCUCUAUACUCAAGUACAACCAAUUUUGCCGUCUUCUAAAGUUUCUUUGGUUGCAACCUCAAGGCUGCCCCUCUCCUCCCACUCUAACCUGACUCCACAGGUGAUGACCAUUGAGGACCAGGCACCAGCUCUCCAUUUACUGAGCAACCUAUAAAUCUACUGGAAGACCAAGCAGAGCCACCAGAGUCUCUACAACAGGGGUGUCAAACUCCAGUCCUCAAGGCCCGCAGUCCUGCAACUUUUAGAUGUGCCUCUG